UCUUCCUAACCCAGGGAUCAAAGCUGCAUUUCCUGCUUCCCCUGCAUUGCGGGCAAAUUCUUCACUGCUGAGCCACUGGGGAAGCCCAUAUAACAGCUUAUAAUAAGUAAAUAAAUAAAAUGGUUACUAGCUAUAAGCUAGAACUGCAGUAACACCUAUCCGCCUCAUCUCAUGAAUUUCUCAAGAAACACUCAAUAACCCAAGAAAAUGAGCACAGGCCCACACAGAUGAGACAGUGUGAGGACAAGCAGGAAGCUGACUGGGAGUCCUCAGAGUGCUGACAGAAAACAAGAGGUUAUCAGGCUGCGUGAGCCCAGGAAGAUUGCCUUGCCUUUCUGGCUCUCAGACCAAACAAGAAGGCUGAACUGAGGUCCUGAGCAGUAUUAACUCUGUGACUGCACUGUGCUUCAGCCAUAAACCAUCAGACUGUUUCUUCAGGGAGAGUUGCCUGAGCAUGAUUGCAGAAAACACCUCCAGGAGCCAGGAGGUGGGGUGGCCAGUGACCACAGGUGUGAGCGUUCCUCUGGGCUGUAAGCAAAAUGAAAAUGGGCUGGUGAUUCACUAGCACACUCAGUGACCCGCCCCUCUCUGGGGAGACCAGGAGCACCCUACCCCAUUUGCCCUGAGUCCUAGACAGCCAGCCCCCGGCCUGUGCCUCUCUGUGUGUGAUCUUUCCACAGCUUUUUUCUCCUGUAUUGUGGCAAGAUACAUACCUUGUUCAUUUUCACACUGUAAACAGUUCCGCUGUGUGACCAUAUUAUAAUUUUCUUAUCUCUUCUGCAGUUGGUAAAAUGUAGGCUAUCUCUGCAUAUAUUUUUGUUGUUAUUACAAAUAAUAUGGCUCUGAACACCCUUAUACAUGUGUAUAUAUUAAUAUGCUGGGUUGUAGGAGUGGAGUUACUGAGAUUUAAAAUGAUUUUCCAACGUGAUGGCAAUAAUUUACAUUCUUACCAGCAGUGGGUGAAAAUACCCUGAUCACCAUCUGGUACGGCCAGACUUCUUAAUUUUUGUCAACCUGUGGGGUCUUAUUUGAGUUUUUUAAUUUCUAGUGAGGUUGAACUUUUCAUUUGUUUUUCCUCUUCACUGAUUUGCCUAUUCAUAUUUUUGCCAAUUUUAAACAUUAGGUUUAUAUUUUUUACUAUGAAAUCUAUAGUAACUGUAUCCUGAACACUAAUAUUAUAUGGAUAAAUGUCUUUCCAUUCUGUGGCC